CCUACGGGUGGCAGCAGUGGGGAAUAUUGCACAAUGGGCGCAAGCCUGAUGCAGCCAUGCCGCGUGUGUGAAGAAGGCCUUCGGGUUGUAAAGCACUUUCAGCGGGGAGGAAGGCGUUAAGGUUAAUAACCUUGUCGAUUGACGUUACCCGCAGAAGAAGCACCGGCUAACUCCGUGCCAGCAGCCGCGGUAAUACGGAGGGUGCAAGCGUUAAUCGGAAUUACUGGGCGUAAAGCGCACGCAGGCGGUCUGUCAAGUCGGAUGUGAAAUCCCCGGGCUCAACCUGGGAACUGCAUUCGAAACUGGCAGGCUAGAGUCUUGUAGAGGGGGGUAGAAUUCCAGGUGUAGCGGUGAAAUGCGUAGAGAUCUGGAGGAAUGCCGGUGGCGAAGGCGGCCCCCUGGACAAAGACUGACGCUCAGGUGCGAAAGCGUGGGGAGCAAACAGGAUUAGAUACCCGAGUAGUC
rnacentral:rRNA from 1 species